UUAAUUUCGCCUGCAGCCGUAAUAAAAGUUUCUUUGGACUGCCUGCCUGAGUCUCAGAGCUCAAGUGAGAGAAGUCCAGGAUUGCGCAACCGGAGAUCAUCCGAGACCAUCAAGAUCACAUCCUCCGUGGAGGCUGCUGAGGUUCCUGACCAGUGCAGUUGGGAUGAUGGGCACUGCCCGGACAGGGACGACAUCUAGCGUGCAGGCCAAAGUGACAGCCGCCCAAGAAAGGUCAAAGGUUCCAAUGGCGGGGCGCUGCAGCAGCGGCUCAGCCAAUAGGAAUCCACUUGCGAGGGACACUCGACCAAUCAAAAGCUAGGAACCGGACCCGCUGGCUCGCGGAGUGUUUUUGAAUGGCUAGAAUAGAACAUAUGAGAAUAUAGCUUACACGUGGAUUGCGUUUUUGUGACUGUUUCUCUUUGCAAACAGUAGAAUGUCAAUAGUAUUUUUGUGAACAGCUUUAAUAAAAUGUUAUUCCGAUUUCAUGGACCAACAUAAUAUUAAAAUAUAUAAUAAAAUAUUCUGCACACAAAAUUGCAAAUUUGUUGUUUGAAAAAUGAAGUAAUUUGCUGAUAUUUU